UUAAAUUGAAGAGUUUGAUCAUGGCUCAGAUUGAACGCUGGCGGCAGGCCUAACACAUGCAAGUCGAACGGUAACAGGAAGCAGCUUGCUGUUUUGCUGACGAGUGGCGGACGGGUGAGUAAUGUCUGGGAAACUGCCUGAUGGAGGGGGAUAACUACUGGAAACGGU
rnacentral:rRNA from 1 species